GGCCCACUUACAAACAUAAAUCAUAAUCAUAAAUCAUCUAAGAAAACACAAAAUUGAAAAAGGUAAUUUAAGGAAAUGGGAGUAAAACAACGUGUUUAAAUCAAGGUUCUAUAUGAGAAUGGCCCAAUAGGGCACCCCAUUCCCAGCACCCCGGGAGCCCAAUAAGCGUUUGUCCGGUACAGUAUCAAAGUAAUAGUAAAGGUAUCGUAAUGAAUAAAAAUAAUCAUAUCGAUAAUAUCAAUGUUUUUG